rnacentral:rRNA from 1 species
AGAGUUUGAUCUGCUCAGACGAACGCGGCGGCGUGCCUAUACAUGCAAGUCGAGCGGACAGAUGGGAGCUGGCUCCCUGGUGUUGGCGGCGGCGGGUGAGUAACACGUGGGUAACCUGCCUGUAAGACUGGGAUAACUCCGGGAAACCGGGGCUAAUACCGGAUGGUUGUUUGAACCGCAUGGUUCAAACAUAAAAGGUGGCUUCGGCUACCACUUACAGAUGGACCCGCGGCGCAUUAGCUAGUUGGUGAGGUAACGGCUCACCAAGGCAACGAUGCGUAGCCGACCUGAGAGGGUGAUCGGCCACACUGGGACUGAGACACGGCCCAGACUCCUACGGGAGGCAGCAGUAGGGAAUCUUCCGCAAUGGACGAAAGUCUGACGGAGCAACGCCGCGUGAGUGAUGAAGGUUUUCGGAUCGUAAAGCUCUGUUGUUAGGGAAGAACAAGUACCGUUCGAAUAGGGCGGUACCUUGACGGUACCUAACCAGAAAGCCACGGCUAACUACGUGCCAGCAGCCGCGGUAAUACGUAGGUGGCAAGCGUUGUCCGGAAUUAUUGGGCGUAAAGGGCUCGCAGGCGGUUUCUUAAGUCUGAUGUGAAAGCCCCCGGCUCAACCGGGGAGGGUCAUUGGAAACUGGGGAACUUGAGUGCAGAAGAGGAAAGUGGAAUUCCACGUGUAGCGGUGAAAUGCGUAGAGAUGUGGAGGAACACCAGUGGCGAAGGCGACUCUCUGGUCUGUAACUGACGCUGAGGAGCGAAAGCGUGGGGAGCGAACAGGAUUAGAUACCCUGGUAGUCCACGCCGUAAACGAUGAGUGCUAAGUGUUAGGGGGUUUCCGCCCCUUAGUGCUGCAGCUAACGCAUUAAGCACUCCGCCUGGGGAGUACGGUCGCAAGACUGAAACUCAAAGGAAUUGACGGGGGCCCGCACAAGCGGUGGAGCAUGUGGUUUAAUUCGAAGCAACGCGAAGAACCUUACCAGGUCUUGACAUCCUCUGACAAUCCUAGAGAUAGGACGUCCCCUUCGGGGGCAGAGUGACAGGUGGUGCAUGGUUGUCGUCAGCUCGUGUCGUGAGAUGUUGGGUUAAGUCCCGCAACGAGCGCAACCCUUGAUCUUAGUUGCCAGCAUUCAGUUGGGCACUCUAAGGUGACUGCCGGUGACAAACCGGAGGAAGGUGGGGAUGACGUCAAAUCAUCAUGCCCCUUAUGACCUGGGCUACACACGUGCUACAAUGGACAGAACAAAGGGCAGCGAAACCGCGAGGUUAAGCCAAUCCCACAAAUCUGUUCUCAGUUCGGAUCGCAGUCUGCAACUCGACUGCGU